GACGAACGCUGGCGGCGUGCUUAACACAUGCAAGUCGAACGGAAAGGCCCUGCUUGCAGGGUACUCGAGUGGCGAACGGGUGAGUAACACGUGGGUGAUCUGCCCUGCACUUCGGGAUAAGCCUGGGAAACUGGGUCUAAUACCGGAUAGGAGCCAUUUUUAGUGUGAUGGUUGGAAAGUUUUUUCGGUGUAGGGUGAGCUCGCGGCCUAUCAGCUUGUUGGUGGGGUAAUGGCCUACCAAGGCGGCGACGGGUAGCCGGCCUGAGAGGGUGGACGGCCACAUUGGGACUGAGAUACGGCCCAGACUCCUACGGGAGGCAGCAGGGGGGAAUAUUGCACAAUGGGCGCAAGCCUGAUGCAGCGACGCCGCGUGGGGGAUGACGGCCUUCGGGUUGUAAACUCCUUUCGCUAGGGACGAAGCUUUUUGUGACGGUACCUAGAUAAGAAGCACCGGCUAACUACGUG
rnacentral:rRNA from 1 species